UAGUAACAGUGUAAAUCGGGGGCUGAGGGGCUAGUACAAAGAUCAAUUGUCUGUGGCCCCUGGGGCCAGGACGAGAAGUAACGGGGCUUAAUCUGCAGCCAGGGAGCUUUGGGUUAGAUCCAAGAUAAAACUUUUUUUUAACUUUUAAGGGAAGUUGAACUGUGCAACAGGUGUCGAAGGGAGAGCCUGGUGUCCCUGCCAUUGGAGGGUUUUAAGACCGGGUUGGACCAGAACCUGUCGGGGGUGGCCUAGGGUAACUCAGUCCUGCCUCAGCGUUAAGGGGCUGGUCUUGAGGAUGUCUCAAGAUCCCCUACAUCCCUGCAUUUCUGUGAUACGAAAGGGGUGAGGAGAGGCUGCUUAGGACUCGUGAACUGUGUGUGACAGAACCCGGUUUGUGCAUGAGAUCAGCAUGCCCAGUAGAGGUUUAUGUCUGUGACAAUUGUUUUCCACUAUGGACAUCGUCAGUGAAUAUUCUUCUGAGAUUAGAAUGUAUGCACAAUAGGCUUAAUCCUCAGAGCAAGCCUGUGAUUGACUGCCUACCUGGAGCCAUUAUGAUGUGUUUAUCAUGAGUCCAAGCUACUUCAGCAACUGUAUAAGUGUUUCCUUCAGCUCUCUCUCUGUACAGCACCCUGACCAGCAAAAUAUCCAGGAAGAAAUAGGAGUCAAGCUCCUUCUUCCUUAAACCCAGUAUUAAUACAUGAUCUGGGCUCAUGCUGACAUUUCAUACAUGGGAGGGAGAUGAGGUGACACCUGCUUGGAUGUGGCUGCCUGUAAAAGGCCUGUUUAACGAAGAGGCCAUUCCUUUCAGGUAAAAAAGGAAAAUCCUCUUUGAAACACUGAGUCCCUCACAACCAGGGAUGAUAGCUAUGUUUAUCUUUAGUUGGGACUCCGCUGGGGUAGCAGAUAAAACCAGAAGGAACUUCAAGGAGAGCCAGUGACAGACAGCCUAGAAGCAACAUAAUGUAUUUUUUUUAAAUU